UACGUAGGGUGCGAGCGUUGUCCGGAAUUACUGGGCGUAAAGAGCUCGUAGGUGGUUUGUCGCGUUGUCCGUGAAAACUCACAGCUUAACUGUGGGCGUGCGGGCGAUACGGGCAGACUGGAGUACUGCAGGGGAGACUGGAAUUCCUGAUGUAGCGGUGGAAUGCGCAGAUAUCAGGAGGAACACCGGUGGCGAAGGCGGGUCUCUGGGCAGUAACUGACGCUGAGGAGCGAAAGCGUGGGGAGCGAACAGG
rnacentral:rRNA from 1 species